rnacentral:tRNA from 1 species
UGUAAAGAAGUGUUAAAGCACAGAUGAAUUUGGGUCAUCAAGAGGAGACAGUCACUCCCUUUACAU